rnacentral:lncRNA from 1 species
GCACCAAUGUGUCCAGUAAGACUUCAUAAAGACGUUCAUUGUCAGCGAUGGCAGGAUGGGUGGAGAUUUAAGCCCCUCUUUUACAAAAGAAGGUCAGAGGUGGUCCUUGGCUGUCAGUUCUUCAUAGAGGAAUUCAGGAAUCUUUAUCCUUCAUAUGGUGGCUCCAUCAUCCCUGCGACCUCAGUGUCUUCUCUUGUAUCUGGUCAGCAGGCAGCGGAUGCGUGGGUAGAGGAGGGCACUGGAGGUGUCAGCAGCCUGGGGCUGGAAGUGGUGGACCUCACUUUUACUUAUACACCACGUGGCAUUGGCCAGAACCCAUCCUCAAGACCACACUCAUCACCAACAAGUCUGGCUGUGUGUCCAGGAGGAAAGAGAAUGCAUGUCUCUACCACACUCCUCAAUAUUACCCUCCCCUCUACAUUUCUUAAGAAUCCAGCACCACUGUUCGACAAAUACACUCAUUCAUUAUUUAGCAAGUGUUCUCAAUGUACUUCCCAUAUGAGAAUACACAGCAGACCUGGUCCCCAUUCUCAUGAUAUUUAUAGUAUCACAUGGGAUAUGGUCCACACAGGAGAAAAGAAUAUUAAAAAGAUACAAGAUUUACUAUUGUGGCUCAGCAGUUUAAGAACCUGACAUAGUGUCCAUGAGGAUGCGAGUUCAAUCCCUGGCCUCGCUCAGUGGAUUCAAGAUCCAGUGGGAACUUCUAUAUGGUGUAGGUAUGGACCUAAAAAGAAAAAAUUAAUUAGUUAAUUAAUUAAAAGAUACCGUUAUAAGAGGUUAAUUAUAAUUGAGCUGUUAUAAGAAGAAAGAUGGGACAGAGUACAUACUCUCUAUGUGAAUGAGAGGAAUAUUUCACUUAUUCAGCUCUUUUCAAUUGAAAUUUUAAGUGUGGGGCAUGGAGCUUGGUGGUACCAAACAUCCAAUCCCAGAAGCUCCAUCAACCCAGGCUCUGGGGAGUUUACAAGGAGUUGAGGAGAUAAAACACCUACACAAGGAACUCCAAUAAAAGGCCUUUUGGAAGUGUUAUAAGCA